GAUGAACGCUGGCGGCGUGCCUAAUACAUGCAAGUCGAGCGAACAGACGAUGAGCUUGCUCCUCUUACGUUAGCGGCGGACGGGUGAGUAACACGUGGAUAACCUACCUAUAAGACUGGGAUAACUUCGGGAAACCGGAGCUAAUACCGGAUAAUAUAUUGAACCGCAUUGUUCAAUAGUUAAAGACGGUUUUGCUGUCACUUAUAGAUGGAUCCGCGCCGCAUUAGCUAGUUGGUAAGGUAACGGCUUACCAAGGCAACGAUGCGUAGCCGACCUGAGAGGGUGAUCGGCCACACUGGAACUGAGACACGGUCCAGACUCCUACGGGAGGCAGCAGUAGGGAAUCUUCCGCAAUGGGCGAAAGCCUGACGGAGCAACGCCGCGUGAGUGAUGAAGGUCUUCGGAUCGUAAAACUCUGUUAUUAGGGAAGAACAAAUGUGUAAGUAACUAUGCACGUCUUGACGGUACCUAAUCAGAAAGCCACGGCUAACUACGUG
rnacentral:rRNA from 1 species